GCCUGGGUGGCUCAGCCAGUUAAGCAUCUGACUUCAGCUCAGGUCAUGGUCUCACUGCUCGUAGGUUCGAGCCCCACGUCAGGCU
rnacentral:tRNA from 1 species